AUGGAGGACUAAGAAAGUAGGUCCAAAAAGUAUUCUGGCAUCUACUGAUACUAUCCUCCUAUAUAAAAUGGUAGAUGAACAGGCCUGUCUUAAAGCUGUGUGCAGGACUUACUUAGUCUACCAACAAAA